UCCUGAACCAGACGGGAUAACUUCACUCAACUUCAUCUGCCCCAUCACUGAAUGUUCCCACAACCUAUGGACUCUCUUUCAAGGGCCCGUCACCUUAUGUUCUCGAUAUUUAUUGUUUACUUAUUUGUUUUUUUUUGUAUUUGCAGUUUGUCUUUUGCACUCUGGUUCAAUGAGGUCUUGCAUUGAUUCUGUUACGGUUAUUAUUCUCUGGAUUUAUUGAGCACAUCGGCAAGGUAGAUUUAUUGAUUUGGUUCAUCUAUUUCGUAUCGCUGUACGCACAGCCUACAAACAUGGUGGAGAAGCAGCAACCGGAAAUGCGUAGGAAGAAAUGCAAUGCUACCAUACGACGCCUUGGCUAGUCAUGCUGUGAGAAUAAUGUCGCAAGAUAACUUAGAACAAAGGAGUGCUUGUUGCAAGAGAAAGCUGCCUUGUGUAACCACUAAUCAAGGAUGCCUGACAAUAAUUGGAGGUACGCAUGUGAUAAUGAAUGUUUAACAAGCAGCCCCAGAUAGUGCUUGGGGCUCACCUGAUCACUGAUUUUCAAGGCUCUGAACGGAGGCUCUGUAGU